GUUGAUAGGGUGAGCAUUAUCAGCUGGGGUUUGGUUUUAGUUUUUGGGCGGGGGGGUAAUGAGUUGUAGCACUGUAGUUUAGAAGAGGAUCUGCCCCCCAGGGCAAACCUAGCCCCUGCAGCCACUGGUGACCCUGGAUUUGGGAAUGUUGAGCUGAAGAUUUUAAAAAGUCCUGAAUAGCUUCACACUGCACAGGUUUGUCCUAAAUUAUACACAAGGUGGGAUUUUCUAAAACCUUGCAUUAGGAGCUAGAGCAUCUAGAAAAAGUCAGGAUUUAAAGACUCUAAAUGAUGGAGAUUUUACCAUAACCCUGCAAAUUUAAACGGUUACCAUAACUUUCAUAUUAUCCCAGAGAGUCUCCAUAGUCGAUUGUGAUCAAACCUGACUCCCAGGUUAAGAAUACUACCUACCUACUUCUGGGCAUUGUUCUCUAAAUUGCCAAAGGAAUAUAGUGAAAGCUCUCUCCAGCUAUCUUCCCAUCCCUUCUGCAAACUAGCUCAGCAAGAAUUGUCCCACAGCACUUUGGUAAUAUUAUGGGGAUUUUGGGUGACUUUGUAGCAGGGGGAAGAGUUGUAGCCAUGAUGGUCCAAAAAUGUGUGAUAAGCUAGCUUUCUGGCGAUAUCUUUUUUUUUGGACCAGCUGUAUUGGUUAGACAAACUUUUGGAUACAAGGUGCCCUUCAGGUCUAGGAAGGUAUUUUUCUCUCAGGACCACAGCUAAUUGCUUUGUUCAUUCAAGUAAUAAUACAUAUUUUUGACCACAUGCGUUAGAAAUGACCUGAAUCACUGGUUGGAGGGGGCUGAUAUAACUUUUCAAGAACUAACUCUUCUUUGAAAUUGCAAGUUUAAUAAGAUAACACGGCACAUAGGAUGGAAAAUUGGCAGCCGUGUAUCAAACGAAUGUGAUGCUCUUAAAUCUUACCCAAUUUCACACAUACAUACAAACCAUUGCCAGAAGCCUUUUGCCUUUUUACGUUCUCCCUUUCAGCCAACCUAAAAUACACUUGUAUUCAAGUGCGCCCAGUCCUUCCACUGUCUGAACAUACACAACCUUAUUUUCUAAAUUAGAAAAUGAUAGGACUUGACAGCUGUAAGCCAGCACGGUCGAAAUAACAGCAGACACCUUCCUGCAGUAGGGAAACACGUUACAAUUAAUGACCUAAGAGUGUCACCCUUGGCCAAAAUUUAAAGCAUUCACCCAAGUAUAAUUUGCUUCCUUUUCGAAGGCAGCAAGGAUAAUGGAUGUAGAGCAAUAUGACACACUGGAUCUCAGCAAAUGCUUUAAGAACACGAGAGAGCAGCGUUGGCAAAGCUGGUGGCAUUUAUCAUCUUAACCAAGAGGUACUACCCCAGCAGGUCAGAGGUUAUUUCACAGGACCGAAGCAAAUAGUGUAGCUGUGAUGUGAGCAUCGGAGGCUGCAAAAUUAGAUCUGAAACCACUCGUUCAGGCCGCAGGUUCCAGUUGUUGCAGCAUCGUGCAUAAUUCAAGAGGAGGAACUGGGCUUCUUUUACGGACUCCUCUGCUGGGAUGAACUUCCAGUCCAUUGAGUAACAAUUGGCUUGUUAUGAGAAAGAUGCAGGUAGUUGCAAUCCAGCUGCCAGGCGCAGCAGAUCGAUGAUGCCGGAGUGUCCACCCUCAGCAUCUGCACGUUCAGAUUCAAGAUGUGCAUUUUUCAGUCUUCGCCCUUGGCUAACGUCAGUGAGGCAACAGAAGCUCCACUGAAGUUGACUCUGCCGUUUCUUUCACAAUGACAGCAAAGUGGCUGAUCCAGCUCCCUCAUUGUCACCGAUUCCAAAGCAGUCUCUCAGCAGUCUUCUCCGAAGUGAACUGUUACUUUAAUGAACAGCUUUCCAGUCCUUGGUCCCAAACCGUUCUUUUCUAUCCGUAUCUUCUUGCUGGAAUUCAGCUGAAACCUCUGCUCUGCUGUAAAAAGCUUUCAACACCAUUCCCUCUGGUGCCAGAGCAAUUAGAGGGGGAAAUGGUAGGCAGGACCUCUUUGAUAGUGUUUGCAGUCUGUAAUAGAGUGAAAUACUACCUCAGUCCCUAGGAUAUAACAGAACUGCAUUUCUGCUGUGGGCACAGUGCCUGCUGCUACCGGGUCUAUGAUUCUGGGGCUCUGAAACGCUGACCCGAUACGCCUCAAUCCUAUCAGCUUUUAUCUGUCAUGCUGGUUACAGGUUUUUCCUGUUCAUUAUAUAAAUAUUGCAUAGACUGAAAUGAUGAUGCAGAAUCUUGGCAGAGAUUAGCGCACUGCAAUAAAUACCCAAGUACAUCUAUGGAAAAGUAUAUGGUGCCUUAAUGACCAGUCAAAGUUUGUACAAGUGCUGCGUGCUUCAUUAUAUGACUAUGUACUCAGCUGGCAAUGCGGUAGCAUUAGGUUGCAAAUGGCUCCUGUGGUUACCCCCUUACUAUGCAAUGCUUCACUCAGAGUAGGGUGUUGAAUAUUGGCAGUGCCGCGGAAAUGGUUACUAUACAAGCAUUAAGUGAUAUCCAGGCCAUUCACUAGAUGGCAACAAGGCUCGACAGAAAUGAUGCGUCUCAUUCACUAGCUGGGCAGGCUAAGUUGUUCUCACCUUUGCCCAUGGUACCCGUCAAUGGCAGUCACAUUGGAUGGACUGGAACAAUGGUCAGCUUCCCAAUGGCACGGAGCUCACAUACUACUCGUGAUGAAUAAGUUACAUGCAUGGCACUAACGAUCCAGAAAAGUCAAUUAUUCUGGUAGACCUUAUGAGACUUUUAAUUAAAAAAAUUAAAACCAGCAAAGGGGGGGAGAUAGAAUAAACUUUUAAACAUGCACACCUGAUUCGAAUGCAUGACUGCACCCAGAGCCGUCUGAAAAACUAUUUCUGAAAAACUAUUUUAUAAAGCAAAUGAAAUGUUGUCAUUACGAUGUAAAAAUGCUCCUUUCAAAAAACCCAGCAGACUGGAAAUGGAGAGCGAGGCAGUGUCUAUGAACAACAAAUCAAAUUAAAUUGUUUUUUAUUCUGCCAACUGUUGAUGUCAUGAAAUAACAAGGAAAAAUGCUGUAAACACUGUUUAUGUGUUGAAACACUGUAAAUCACUGAAUCUAACUUUUUUUUAAUUGAAAUGUCUGGAGGACAAGCUGUUACGGUGUCUAGAAAUGCCCAUGAAAAUGGUGGAAUAUACGAAAGUAACUAAUUCGUAACAUAACACCAGCUUGCCCUUUCCAUUCUCCAAAUCAACUGAAAUCUGAACAGAAUAAUUCUUUGUGGGAGAUGCAUGUUCUUUUGUUAUUGCACGACUCAGUCUACUAGUAUGCUGUGGGGGUAUACAACAGGGUUGUGAGUUGGCUGCAUCAAAAGAAAUAAUGCUCCUGGAGUUGCUAUAAGGAACCAAAAGAAGUGAACGUUUUGAGGGGCUGGCUUUCAUAGGGAGGUGGCAGAAUCUCUUUGCUAUGAGUAUGAACAUCCAUGUGAAAGCUAAACAAAUUUGCCAUCUUUAUUGAAUACGGUAAAGGAGAUGGUACCCAAAUGACUACAGUUUUAGCAACAAUAAAGUCCUUUACAUAUACUAAGUAUUUCUAACAUGUAGAAGUAAAAUAAGGGUUGUACAGCCCAGAGCCUUCCUAGUGGUUUCAGCAGGCCAGAGCAGAAGCACUCACUCUAACGAAUCUGUAAAUCUGCUAAAUACCUGUCAUCAGCUAUCUCAGACAGGACACGAGAAGAAGCAGCAGCAGGCUUUGAACCCUGCUUGCAGUAAGCAUGCACAAGAGUCUUAUGAACCUUUUAUCCCUUAACUGCCUUUGACAAUGUAGACUCCAAUAUAGUGCUGGUCAACCAGUGGGCUGUAACACCGAUGUUCAUCCAUGAACAGUGACCUGUGAUCUGUGUUGAAAGUGUGGAUGUUACAGCGAGACGAUGGCUGGGCCUGUAAUUGCUGAUGAGCUGGCACGUACAGUGUUUUCUCACAUGCAACAGGCCCUGAAAUAAAAUGCACACCUUGUUUUUGAAAGGCAGAAAGGAGGAAAAACAAAUCUGUCCUUGUAUUAACUGGCAGCAGCUAGGACACCAAGCCUUCUCGCUGUUCUGCUCCCUGUGUGUAGACUUUACUUUUGGUUUCUCCAAGUAAGUGUGCUUACUGUGUUUCUUGCAUAUAAUAUGCACUCCGAUUCCCAGCUGCCGGUUUUUGGGAAAAGGGGGUGUGUUGUAUUCAAGAAAACAUGGUGUUUGGAAAUGGGGGAGAGCGUUUUUUUCUGACUGUGGUUGUUAUACAGGCAGUCCUCGACUUACAACGAUUCGAGUUACAAUGUUUCGCACUUACAACAUUUAUAAAUUGGCACCCUGUUUCGACUUUCUGAUGCGAGUUUCGACUUUGCAACACUUGAUCCGAUGCAACACCAUGCCAGCAAACAAGUUCGCUGCGUCGCUUAUCUCCCUGGAGAGUAUCUGUCCAAACUUCCUUGGACACUUUCUUUAAGAAAGCAGACGACACUCCAGAAAAACCUGCAGCCAAGACUCCUGAGAAGACUCCAGCCGAGAGCCCUUCAAAAAGUCCAGCAAAGUCACUCGAAAGAAGCCCUUCCAAAUCAGUAUGAUCGCUAUUUACAAUAUAAAUACAUUAAUGUAGCUAUAUUACUUAUCUAUAAUUGAUCUAGUACAAAAUUCUGGGGUAUUUUUGGUGAAAAUAGGGUAUCGGGCCUCGGUUCAGGAACAAAUCCCCCAUUUAUAACAUUGUUUCUUAUGAGAAAAUUGGUUCCGAGUUACAACGUUUUGACUUAAGACGCGGUUUUCAGGAACCAAUUGUGCUGUAAGUCCGAGGACUGCCUGUAUUUUAAAUUUUGUGCACCUCAUCCUCGAUCCUACAUUCAGAUUCAUCCAAAAGGACCUUUAGUCUACAGGAGUCGGGGUGCUCCAUGUCUGUGCUGCCCUGCGCAGGUCUCGCUGCAAAGUCUUCAAUUACUUCCUGAGCUUCCCUCUUUUUCUAUGAAUCUAGGACCGCUCUGGGGAUGCACAUUGUAAAACGCGCUAAGAGACGGAGACUGGCGUCGUAAACGCUUUUGGCUUCCCUGACUGCUAAGCAUCCGCUACAUAAUUUCAGUCUUUGUUCUGUGAAUAUUCCUGUGCUGUUAUUAGCUAUUGCUGUUUAGGAAGUUCCAUAGUAGAAAUGUCUUUUUAUAGGCUGUGGUUAUAUCUCCCAUUCAAUUUGCAUUCAGCACAGCUUUGUAUCUACCUGUAGCUUAGUGCAAAAUUGUAAAUUAUGUUAACCAGUAGGUUUAAUUGUCAAGGUUCACGCGACCAUGUACUGUCAUCUAACUAAUUAAACAGUCUAGCAAAUGUGCAGUA